GCUCAUCCCCCGUGGUGGCUGUGGCCUGGCGUGGCAGAGCGUUUUGUUUGGCGUGGCUGUGUCUUCGUUCAAUCGGACGCAAUAGUUGUUGUUUGUGGCAGCCGUCGAGGCACCUGUUUCUACGCAUUCAGCGCACCUGGUUGCUGGCACUGUGGGAGACGGAUUGUGCCGCUGGAUUGCUUCCGGGUCCGUUCGCGUGCCUGUUCGCGUGGUCGAGCCGUGGCCUUUGAGGUCCAAGCCCUUUAAUUCCUCGCGUAAUCGCGCCGUACGCCCAAGCGAGAGCGGUAUGUAUGGUUUCGGUUAUUCCUUAAAGGAAUAACCCGACUAUUGUUAUUAUUAU